rnacentral:rRNA from 1 species
GCAAGUCGUACCAAUAACAACAUCUUCGGAUGCUGACGAGUGGCGAACGGGUGAGUAAUACAUCGGAACGUGCCCGAUCGUGGGGGAUAACGAAGCGAAAGCUUUGCUAAUACCGCAUAAGAUCUAAGGAUGAAAGCAGGGGACCGCAAGGCCUUGCGCGAACGGAGCGGCCGAUGGCAGAUUAGGUAGUUGGUGGGAUAAAAGCUUACCAAGCCGACGAUCUGUAGCUGGUCUGAGAGGACGACCAGCCACACUGGGACUGAGACACGGCCCAGACUCCUACGGGAGGCAGCAGUGGGGAAUUUUGGACAAUGGGCGAAAGCCUGAUCCAGCCAUGCCGCGUGCAGGAUGAAGGCCUUCGGGUUGUAAACUGCUUUUGUACGGAACGAAAAGACUCUGGUUAAUACCUGGGGUCCAUGACGGUACCGUAAGAAUAAGCACCGGCUAACUACGUGCCAGCAGCCGCGGUAAUACGUAGGGUGCAAGCGUUAAUCGGAAUUACUGGGCGUAAAGCGUGCGCAGGCGGUUAUAUAAGACAGAUGUGAAAUCCCCGGGCUCAACCUGGGAACUGCAUUUGUGACUGUAUAGCUAGAGUACGGUAGAGGGGGAUGGAAUUCCGCGUGUAGCAGUGAAAUGCGUAGAUAUGCGGAGGAACACCGAUGGCGAAGGCAAUCCCCUGGACCUGUACUGACGCUCAUGCACGAAAGCGUGGGGAGCAAACAG